rnacentral:rRNA from 1 species
AGGCAGCAGUUAGGAAUCUUCCGCAAUGGACGAAAGUCUGACGGAGCAACGCCGCGUGAACGAUGAAGGCUUUCGGGUCGUAAAGUUCUGUUGUCAGGGAAGAACAAGUACCGGAGUAACUGCCGGUACCUUGACGGUACCUAACCAGAAAGCCACGGCUAACUACGUGCCAGCAGCCGCGGUAAUACGUAGGUGGCAAGCGUUGUCCGGAAUUAUUGGGCGUAAAGCGCGCGCAGGCGGUUCCUUAAGUCUGAUGUGAAAGCCCCCGGCUCAACCGGGGAGGGUCAUUGGAAACUGGGGAACUUGAGUGCAGAAGAGGAGAGCGGAAUUCCACGUGUAGCGGUGAAAUGCGUAGAGAUGUGGAGGAACACCAGUGGCGAAGGCGGCUCUCUGGUCUGUAACUGACGCUGAGGCGCGAAAGCGUGGGGAGCGAACAGGAUUAGAUACCCGAGUAGUCC